rnacentral:rRNA from 1 species
UAGGGAAUCUUCCACAAUGGACGCAAGUCUGAUGGAGCAACGCCGCGUGAGUGAAGAAGGUUUUCGGAUCGUAAAGCUCUGUUGUUGGUGAAGAAGGAUAGAGGCAGUAACUGGUCUUUAUUUGACGGUAAUCAACCAGAAAGUCACGGCUAACUACGUGCCAGCAGCCGCGGUAAUACGUAGGUGGCAAGCGUUGCCCGGAUUUAUUGGGCGUAAAGCGAGCGCAGGCGGAAUGAUAAGUCUGAUGUGAAAGCCCACGGCUCAACCGUGGAACUGCAUCGGAAACUGUCAUUCUUGAGUGCAGAAGAGGAGAGUGGAAUUCCAUGUGUAGCGGUGGAAUGCGUAGAUAUAUGGAAGAACACCAGUGGCGAAGGCGGCUCUCUGGUCUGCAACUGACGCUGAGGCUCGAAAGCAUGGGUAGCGAACAGG